UUUGUCUCUUUCUAUGCAGGGAAAGUGGAGACUCAGAGUGUUUAAGUGACCUGCCUAAGGCACGGAGCUGGCAGCAGAGGUUGGCCCACACCCCAGCUUCCGACUGUCGCUCUCUUCUACAGGUUCAUCGUUAAUAAAACUUGGUUUUCCAGCAUUUCGCUGCCCCAGGAGGGCAGUGGGCCCCCUGUCCAAUUCAUCAACUGCCUAAUGAGCGGCCCCGGAGGUCCCGGCCCGUCCAUUCCAGAAGCUCUCUCUGCCUUGUAAAGAGAAGGACCAGUACAAGGGGAAGUGGGUGCUGCUAGUGUUCUGGCCCAGGGUCUGGAUUCUGUCCUCUUCUGGAACAAUUUUUGUCGCCUCCCCCGCCCCACCCCCCAGCAGGCUCUCUUGCCUUCGCCAGCUUGUCAGGACGCUGCCAGCUUUGGGCGUGGCACCCCGUCAGCCCCAACAUGGUGGGAGAGCUGGGAUCUGAGCCCACGAGCUCGGGGACACAGCCGCCCACCUCGAGCCCAGAAGAGCAGGAGCGCAGAGGGGCGGUUAUGCUUACGGUGCCUGCAGGACAAGACAAAGUGGAAAGCUGCUCUUUGUCACCCACCCGGCCCCGAUGGCAGCUAACAGACCUCAUCCACACAAUUGGCUGGGACUCGACUCCCUUGUAACACCAGGUCCCUCUUCUGCAGUCUCUGUGCACUCGUGGAGGAGCAGUGUGGAGGGUCUCUGAGGCCAGGGGGAGCACCAGCAUCAGCCAGCACCUCCGUUCUUCGACAGAGGGAAGACGCGAUUGCGUGGCUCUCAGCAGUGACAUCAGAGUGUCCACGUGCCCCCGACCGUGUGCCCCAGCUGUAUGCAU
rnacentral:lncRNA from 1 species